ensembl:lncRNA
GAACUCUCUGCAAGUCAUUUGUUACAUUUGUUUCUCCUGAUGUACUGAGUACUGAAUAAAAGGUGUGGUAAGCUGGGGACUUUGUCUUUGCCACCCAGAGCAGCACUGAUCAGACCCAAAGUGCAGCUUCUUCUCAGUCUCAUUUUUCUACCUUUCCUGUAAUUUGCCGUGUACUGCCAUGGCUCGCAGGAGACUAGGAUUUAACUGCAGAGGUUCUAGUAACUUCCCCUUCCCCUGUUCCCUACAAGGUGAUACUUGUUUCCAGGAGUAAAUUCGGGAGCAAUGCUUCCCUUUCAAUUUCGUUGAAGAGUUUAAACAGUAGUGUCAGUAGUUCCUCUCUAAAUGUCUUGUAGAAUUCAGCGGUGAAGUCAUCAUGAACUGGGCUUUUCUUAGUUGAGCCGAGGACACCAGGAAAGACGAAGAAGGUUUUGAAAAUGGUCACCUGAUAGAAACAUCUGUCAUUGACAUUUUUAACAGAAUUGAUGGCACAGAUACCUCAAUGGUCAUACCUCUUUUCUUUCUUUUAAUGAUGAUGCUAAGCAGAUGCUGACAUGUCCACAGUACCUCCAAGAGCCUCCAAGAAGUGGUAAAGGACCAGUGACCCUAACCAAAGGACCUGUUCCCUGGAAACCAAAAUUGGAACCAUUUCUAACAGCAUCAAAAUUACUGAGGAAGUACCCACUGAAUUUAAAGAUCUGAUGAAACUUUCAGGAUUGCCUGCUUAGUUCUUAUGGUACAAAGUUAAAAACAGAAGAUCAAGGGCAGGAAGCCCAGAAUCCGUGAUGGCUCAGGAUGGACUUCUAGAGAAUAUCAAGAACCAAUAUGGUGUUGGGCUUCUUCCCUUCUGUUCCCAUACUUAUGGAUGAUCCCAGUUAAGGACAGCAUACUUACCCCAGAAAUAUUUGCCAUGCUCACCAAAAAGCUAUAAAUGGAAGAAGAUCAAUACUCAUUUGAAUUAUCAAUAAUGAAGGUUAACGUUAAACACUGCCUUUUUGAACACACUGUUCUCUUUGCAUGGUUACAUUUUCACCACUGUUAAGGGAGUUUUGGGCUCUUACUUGAAGUUGUCCCACUACAACAUCAUAGCUUGGGUGUACUAAUAACAACUAUCUACUAUUCUAAUGUAGCUGAAGCCCAAAGUAACUAGAGUGCUAUGAAUUUCAGCAACAUUGAGGAUCACUGAAGUUAUUCCUUUUCAAACUUUCAAUUGGAAUUUAUGAAGAUAAUGUUAGUUCAUUAAUGUAAAGUACUUAAUACAUGAUUGCACUCAAACUAGUCACAUAAUAAUUGGUAACUGUUACUUUUUAUUAUUUUCAAAUUCUUCCACUGCCACGUUUUCCAUAACUUGUAAUUCCUAACAAACAAGGCCACCAGUCAAGCUUGCCAGAGACUCUUGCAGUAAGUGUCUAGUUUCUACCUGCUCAGUGUGUGAUGCAGGACUGAGGAAAAAAAAUACACUAAGAGACAGAACUAAGAGAGAGAAAGCAGGGUGCCAGGACAACCAAUGCUGGUGUAACUGACAAAAGCAUUGGCCAGUCCCAGGCACUGACUUUUAUUGGCAAUCAAUUAGGGUAAAGGCAACAAGUGGUUUCUAUGGAAAUUAAUGUAAACAAAGCUCAGAAAGGACAAACAAAGCAUUCUCAAAUUAGGAACAGAAUAGACAAAAUAUAUGAUUGUAAUUAGAACAUUGUCCUUCCAGUCAGAAGGUUUUAGUUAGGAAGAAAUUUGGGUGUUAGUUACUCUGACCUUGGCAUGUAGGCUUCAGCCAGACUAACUUCUGUAAACAAUCCAGUUGAGGGCUUAACUCUUUACAGCCUUCUUUGGGCAUAAUCAAUAUUACAGUCCUCUGCAUCUCCCCUUUCUCUGUUUGAAAACAGCAGCAGAAUCAGGUCUGGUGGUCUUUGCAGGUCCCAGGGCUAUAGCAGGUGAGGGGAGUUGUUCAAAUGCAUCUUUUGGAUGGCUUUCAACAGCGAUUUCACAUCAUGCUGCUUGCAGUGAAUCCGUCGUCUUGGUCCACGGUGGUACAUUCCGGGAUGAUGGCCACAGCAUCUUUUUAUUUGCUGUUGAAAAAUAAGCAUACCCUGGCCCCUAUGUUAUUAAUUGUAUUGAGCCAUUUACCUUUCAGUUAGUACAUACUUUGACAACACUUGUGUCUAGGACAUGUCUGUAAAUCUAUCUUUAUAUAUGUUUACUUUCCAUAAGUGGAUCUAAAAACUUUAAAACAAAAGUAACAAGAUCUAAUUGAGCUUGUGGAAGUAGCUAUAUCCCCCCUUUUUGUUUGUGUUUUUGUGCUUUUAGGGAAAGGUAAGUCCAACAAUGUCUUACCCCCGUGAGAUAUCCAAUGGACCUAUGUCACAAGGACUUAUAAUGUGUCUAACUGAGCUGUCUAUAAUAAUUUCCUUUAUAAAGAGCGUCUCCAAAUGUGGUUAGUGGAGAAAGGGAGUAGUUUCAAUCCACCUGCUUCGAGCUGAGAGGGUUCUUGUAGGGAAGACCAUGCAGUUAGGGGCUCUCUUCAGGGAGCUAAUUUAAUAGGCCUUAAAUGAAAAUCGUGUUGUAAUUUAGCAAUUAUAAAUUCUCUAUAUAAAGUCAAUCUGGUGAAUAUUGGUAAAAAAUAUCUAGCACAUUUGUUGUUGAUUUUAUCAAUAUGAUCAGUUGGAGUUUGGCAACCUAUAGGCAAGAAUAAACAAAUUUUUUGAGAAAUUUGAGCAUUAUAAUCAAAGUAUAAGUACUAAAAUAAAAAGCAGAUAGGGGAAAGAGCCAUGUUUAAAAACUGUUUUUAAAGAACUAAAAUGGCGAUUGCAACCUGCUGGCUUUUAGACUCUUUUAUUAAUGGAGUUUAUCUAUGAGUGUGAUAUUUUAUUAUAAUUUUCUUUUAAUUUUGGCUGUAAAAAGACUGAAAAUUUAAUAAUUUUAAAAAAAAUUAGCUAAAAAAUUUAAAAACUCUUGUUGAGGUCUAUAAAUUUUACCAUAGUUUUUCUAUUGACCCAUGACAGGGGUGAGUCACCAGUGUAGUUGAAACUGCCAGUAGGGGUCAGCAAUUGUGGCCCCUUCUUAAAUACAGCUUUAUUACUAUGGUCUUGACUUCAUAUAUCUUUGGAUUAUACUUUUCUACUGGGUGUUCAAGACCAAGUUAAGGUGAGACAGAUAUUAAUUAAAAUUAACCACUUGCUAGGGCUGGGGAUUUAGCUCAAUGGCAUCAUGCCUGCCUUGCAAAAGCAAGGUCCUGAGUUUGAUCCCUGAUAUCAAAAAAAAAAUUUAACCUCUUGCUGUCUGUCAAGGUCAAUUAAGUCUCCAUAGGCAUUACUUUGAACUUUGUAUAGAGUUUUUCAGAUCCUGUCAGUGUCAGCCAUCAGGAUGUGUCAUGGGCUUGCUUGAGUAUGUUGGUUUCUGUGAAAGCAUGGGAGAUUUUUCUCUACAAGUGACACUCCCUUGGCACACUAUUGAUUCUUAUCUUUUUGAUGUCCAACAAUCUCCCUGCUCAGUUGUAAGAUCUUGUAGAAAAGGUUCUCCCAUGACCUGGGUUGUUUGUUGACCUUGGAGGGCCAGGGCCAAAAUAUUAGCUCUCUUCUUCACCUAAUUACCUUUGUAGUUCUGGUCUUUAAACUUUAGUUGUUGAAGACCCAGAAGAGAAGAUCAAUAAUAUUAGCAUUGCAAUGGGAGUAGUGAACUUAAUUAUUAUAAUUUUACCUGGACAUUAAGCACUUUGAAAUAUAAAAUAUAGUUAGAAGGCUAUUAUUAUCAAUUAUGGUUGUUUCAGUAGUUGAAUUCCUGUAUAAUGUUAACAGGAAAAAAGCUUCAAAUCAAGAGCCACACAUAAUAUUUUUGGAUGACAAUCAUGAUGACAUUAUCUUUGUAACACACUUGAAUGUCCAUAUUAAUAUAAAAUAGCUAUUGUUAAAUGCACUCAUUCUCUUCUCAAAACACAAAAAUUUCUCAUCUAAAUUGUUAUCAUUUGAUAGGAUGCCACCUAAAGAAAAUACAUUAGCCUAUAAAUGUACCUGUUAUCAUAAGUAGCUGGAGUGUAAGAGAAAGGGAAAUACCUGAAUCAAAAGGUUAUUACCAUAAACAAUAUAUUAGAAAACCUGUAUAGUCAGGAAGCAUGAAUACAUUUAGUACAUCAGAAAAUUAACAUUAAUAAUAAUUAUCACAAUUAUAUAUAUGAAACUUCAUGCCCUUUAAUUUAGUUUGGUACCAAAAUCAUCUUUUCAAUAAAACCUUGUUUUUCCCACAGAAAAUUUAAUCUUUGGAAGAUGACCAGUGUAAACAUAUCGCAAUAACAUAUUUAGAAUUUAACCCUUUGAUGACAACCAGUGUAAACAUAUUACAAUAACAUGUUGAAGUAAUAUUCAUUGAUGUUAGUCUCUUUUAAGGCUGUAAAAACUAUCAGGUUCAGUCUGUUGUAAGACUAUGGAAACUUUUGAGGUCCCUUUAGUGAGCAAAGUCUGGAAAACAUUUACAUGUGGCCAAUCCUUUGUUCACCAAGGGGGUGGGUCCCAUUUAUCAGCUUCUCCAAAUCUAAGGGUCUCCAUUUAACUAUCUCGACAAAGCUUUUUGUUUUGUUUUUUUGUCUUUUGGUACUGGGGAUUGAACUCACAACCCUGCACUUGUGAGGCAGGCAUGGUGCCACUGAGCUAAAUCCCCAGCCCUAAACACACUGCUUUUUAAAUCACCUAUAAAAAACAGUUUUUAAGAAUUAAUACAUUAUUUUUAACCAAUUAAAGUUUUUGAGUUAUUAUAUUUAGACAACAAUAUGUAUUACAUCUCUUUAAUCUGUUAGCAACUUGGAGAAAAAAGCAUGACUUUAACUUUAAUAACUUUUAUCUAUAAGCCAAUUUAAAUUAUGGGCAAAUAUCUUUAAAAAAAAACUUUUUUCAAGGCUAAAAAAAAAAGGGAAAAACAUUGAGCUCAAACAAAACAGCUGUACAAUUGGACAAAUAUUCUCUUUCACAUGGUGGACUUGCCUCUCUAAGAAAAUGUGGCAUUGUUACAGGCAAACCCCAGGGCUUCCCCUCUGGAGGAGGUCUAGCUGCUUCCUCCUCCACUUGAGUUGCUAAGAUCACAGAUAUGGAGGUCAGCCAAAAUUAUGAGAAAUGCUUGGCCUUCAUGUACCAGAGUGUGUAGGCAGGGUAUCAUACUCAGACUUAGAGAGGGUUGAGCAGGGCUUGCACUCACCUUGGAAAGAACUGAAAUGAGAAAAUAAGUAACGGAUUGAAAACAGCCAGGAAAGCUCUGAAGAGCAUAAAGCAAAAUAGUCAGAAAAUACACUCAUGGCUUUAAGAGCCAAGACCAGUGCUAUGUUAUCAGCCUGAUGCUUCCUGCAAAGGUCUGGAAUCCAAAACAAAGCCAGAGAAACUGCAACUGUGCUCUACCAAAACACAAAGAGAUUUUACAAGAGAAAUCAAGUUACAAAUUUUAGCUAAUUUAUAAAUGUAUCAUUGUUUCAAUUUUAUUUGAUGUUUAAUUGGUGUGCUUAAAGCAUUUCUUGUGCAUUGCAAAUUCUUGAAUUAUAAUUAUAGGGUAAACUUGCUCUUUUCUGUACUUUGUUCAUGAAAAACUCAAGGUUACUAGUGUUCUAUUGGCAGCCAGUCAAAUUUUAAAAUGCAAAGACUCAAUGAUAAAUGUAAAUGUAUUGUAUACCUAAAAUGUACCAAUAAAAUAAUUUAAGAAUAAAAAAAUAUGUAACAAUCUGAGAACAGGAAAAAAAAGGGACACUUUAAAAUAAAACUAACAAGAUCUAAUUGAGCUUGUGGAGGUAGCUGUACCCUCCUUUUUUCUGUUUUUUUUUUCUGUUUCUGUUUUUCUUUCUGUUUGUUUUGAGAAGUGAGUCUGGCAGUGUGAAAGACAGAAGAUUUGGCAAGCAGUUGUUCUAAGAGUAAAACUAAACAGUUCUCACCAGUGGCUGAUUGCUGCAGAGCAGAAACUUGAGCAGCUCCCAGUCUCGGUUGUUUGGGCUGCAAAACAGAGUGUACAAGACUCCAAGUUGCCAAGGUCUCAGUUAAAGUCUCAAGGGAGAUAACUUUUCUUCUUUGUUGAGCUGUCUGGAUGUUAUUUUUUGACACACUCCUUAAGUUCCAUAUUUACUGUUCUUACUUGUGAAAAAUGAUGAUUAUAUUUAACUAUCUUUUGCACCAUUUAUUUCAACACUGCAGGACAGCUUGGCCUGAAAAUGAGUUUAUAUAUUUAACUAUUUCUUGGAGCAUUAUUUCAAUAUUGCAGGCCAGCUUGGGUUGAAAGUGAUUACCCCAUGUUUUAGUCCCAGCUGACUGCCUUUACUACCUUCUCACAUCUAAAGCACCUACCUCUUUUUUCGGGAUUUUGUGCUUCAUGUUUAGACUUCCUUAUCAUGAUGUGAGGUGCACUGCAUUGUGGAUUUUUUUUCUUUUUCUUUUUUCCUUUUUAUUCUGAGUAGCCUCACUGAGCAGGUGAUUGCUUGUUGUUCAAGCCCCACAUUGGGCACCAAUUGCCAGAGACUCCUGCAGUAAGUCUCUAAUCCUCACCUGCCCAGUAUGUGAUGCAGGCCUGAGGAAAAAAAUACACUAAGAGACAGAACUAAGAAAGAGAAAGCAGGGUGCCAGGACAACCAAUGCUGGUGUAACUGACAAAAGCACUGGCCAGUCCCAGGCACUGACUUUUAUUGGCAAUCAAUUAGAAUAAAGGCAACAUGUGGUUUCUAUGGAAAUUAAUGCAAACAGGGCUCAGAAAGGACAAAACAAAGCAUUCUCAAAUUAGGAACAGAAUAGACAAAAUAUAUGACUGUAAUUAGAACAUUGUCCUAGUCAGAAGGUUUUAGUUGCAGGGAGGAAAUUUGGGUGUUAGUUACUCUGACCUUGGCAUGUAGGCCUCAGCCAGACUCACUUCUGUAAACAAGUAAAUUGAGGAGUUAACUCUUUACAGCCUUCUUUGGGAAUAAUCAAUAUUAUGGUCCUCUGCACAAGCUGAGAACCAAGAUGACUAUUCCCCAAAAUAAUCUGGAAUGCGAUGAGCAUGUGUUAAGCCUGAACACAUGCUACAUUUAAGAUGUUUCUUUUAAAUGUGCUAGUAUUUUAUUGCCAUUUAGGUAUGAACAUAACUGUUAUAUAAAAAGUAAAAAUUCAGAAUGGCAGUGUUUUACAGUGCUACAAAUAUCCAUUCCAUGAAAUGGAUAACCUGAUAAAUUUCAGUUGGAAAAUAUGGUGAGAAUUUGUUUCCUUAUGAUAUCAUUUUAGGGAAAGAAAAAUGAUUUGGUUAUGACAGGUCACCAGCAGUCUUUGGGAGCUUAGUACCUUUUUGCUGACUCUUGCAACAUUAAUGUACUUCUUAUUUAACACUAAAGAGCUUUCUGAGUAUUUUUUUUUGUCCAUUUCUUUGUAUUGAAUUUUUAAUUUGUACCAUUAAACCCCUGGGUCAGAGGGUGAAUCUUAAAUACUGACUUUUUAAAAUACAUUGUUCUUUUUUUUAUUAGAUGCUCAUCACUAUCAAGGAUCAUUUGGACUCAUAUUUGAAGUUAGUGCAUUACAAUGGUAUGACUUUGGUGAACUACUAACAACCAGAUAAUAGUGUGGUGUAGCUAUCCCCAUAUAAAAUUCUGAUGGAAAGUUGACCUUCCUCUAGCUUCUUUUGGCCAAUUUUUCUGCUACAAAAUGAGUUAAAUCUUUUUCUUUGCAGCCUUUAUAAUACAGUCUUACCACCAGUAUAUUAAUUCUAUGUCUCUUGACAUUUCUGAUCUGUAAUGAAUCAUGAGAAAUUGUUGGCUAAGACCUUCUCUUUAACAAUCAGAGUAAAACAGGUUUAAGAGACACAUGACCCAAAUCCAUGUGCAUGAUUGAAUUGACACUAAAGACUUUUAAUUUAUUUUGCUAUGCAGUAUCUCUGUCACCUAGAAAUCUAGCUGGUGUUUCUGAACGAAGACUUUUCCUAUUGAAAAUUUAAAAAUAAAGUACAAAAUCCAUUGGAAUUUUCAUCAAAAUCCAAUCCAAACUGAGAAUAAAUCUUUGAUCUACUCCAAGUUAAAAGAUAAGAAAAGAAAUUGUUCUAAUGUUACCUGUUGGAACUAUGAUAUGAUUUCUCAUAUAAAAAGCAAUCUUUCUUAUCUAAUAAAUCAUAAUGAGUUUCCAACUGGGACUUUUUUCCUUCACUUCUCAUGACCCCCAAUAUAGCUCCAAUCUCAAUCUCAACAAGGUCUAUGAUUGAAGCUCCAAGAUACAUUGCAUUAUCAAUACACUCCUCCUCUUUAUGUCUACUGCUACCAUCUUAGUCUAAACUACUAUGUUCUUUACUCAGAACAUUGCAAUAAUCUCUAGUAUUUCUUCAUACAUGCUG